rnacentral:rRNA from 1 species
ACAGUUCAGCACUAAGUCACUUUGUCUAUAUGGCAAAUGUGAGAUGCAGUGUAUGGAGCGUCAAUAUUCUAGUAUGAGAAAUUAAUGAUUUAAGUCCUUCUUAAAUGAGGCCAUUUACCCAUAGAGGGUGCCAGGCCCGUAUAACGUUAAUGAUUACUAGAUGAUGUUUCCAAAGAGUCGUGUUGCUUGAUAGUGCAGCACUAAGUGGGUGGUAAACUCCAUCUAAAACUAAAUAUAACCAUGAGACCGAUAGUAAACAAGUACCGUGAGGGAAAGUUGAAAAGAACUCUGAAUAGAGAGUUAAACAGUACGUGAAACUGCUUAGAGGUUAAGCCCGAUGAACCUGAAUAUCCGUU